AUCCUAAAUAACCUGAGUUAUUACAAGUGCUUAUUUGAUUCAUAGGAGACCUAAAUCAAAGUCACAAAUGGACUUUUCGCUGAGAACGCUUUCUCUUCCAGGAGGUGUUUACUAGUCUAUUCCCAUACUUCU